rnacentral:rRNA from 1 species
UACGUAGGGGGCAAGCGUUGUCCGGAAUCAUUGGGCGUAAAGAGCGCGUAGGCGGUCCGGUAAGUCCGCUGUGAAAGUCAAGGGCUCAACCCUUGAAUGCCGGUGGAUACUGUCGGGCUAGAGUCCGGAAGAGGCGAGUGGAAUUCCUGGUGUAGCGGUGGAAUGCGCAGAUAUCAGGAGGAACACCGAUAGCGAAGGCAGCUCGCUGGGACGGUACUGACGCUCAGGCGCGAAAGCGUGGGGAGCAAACAGG